GUUCUUGCUACGGCAGAACAUAUACUAAAAUUGGAACGAUACAGAGAAGAUUAGCAUGGCCCCUGCGCAAGGAUNUCAACUUCUACAAGUUCGGUGAAAAUACACCGU
rnacentral:snRNA from 1 species